GCAAACUUGGUCAUUUAGAGGAAGUAAAAGUCGUAACAAGGUUUCCGUAGGUGAACCUGCGGAAGGAUCAUUACCAAUCUUUUGCAAGACCCCUGUGGUCUUGCGAAAACCCAGUAUUUAAAACCCAACUCAUGAUAAUAUUAUAAUAAAUAUACCGUAUCAAUCAUGAUAUGUAAUUAAAGAUCACUUUCAACAACGGAUCUCUUGGCUCUUGCAUCGAUGAAGAACGCAGC
rnacentral:misc_RNA from 1 species